UAAGAGACGAUGAAGGACGUGGCAGGCUGCGAUAAGCUAAGGGGAGUUGUCAACAAACUUUGAUCCUUAGAUAUCCGAAUGGGGAAACCCAACUCUUUAGAGUUAUUUAUUAAUGAAUACAUAGUUAAUAAAAGUUAACCUAGUGAAUUGAAAUAUCUUAGUAGCUAGAGGAAAAGAAAUCUAUUCCGUUAGUAGUGACGAGCGAACGCGGACCAGGCCAGUAACAAAUUUAUAAUAACUAGAACUUUCUGGAAAGUAAGACCAUAGUGGGUGAUAGUCCCUUAUAGGUAAAAAGUAAAUUUGUUCUCGAGUAGGGCGGAACACGUGAAAUUUUGUCUGAAAAUGGGGAGACCACUUCCCAAGCCUAAAUACUCCUUAAUGACCGAUAGUGAACCAGUACCGUGAGGGAAAGAUGAAAAGCACCCCGAUAGGGGGAAUGAAAUAGUAUCUGAAACCGAAUGCCUACAAGCAGUCAGAGCUUCCUUGAGAAGUGAUGGCAUACCUUUUGUAUAAUGGGUCAGCGACUUAGUCUGUGCAGCAAGCUUAAGCCGUAAGGUGUAGGCGUAGGGAAACCAAGUCUUAAUAGGGCGUUAGUUGUACGGAUUAGACUCGAAGCGGGAUGAGCUUAAUAUGAGCAGGUUGAAGAUGCAGUAACAUGCAUCGGAGGACCGAACCAGGAAACGUUGAAAUGUUUUUGGAUGACUUGUGUUAAGGGGUGAAAGGCCAACCAAAUUCCGCUAUAGCUAGUUCUCCGCGAAAACUAUUUAGGUAGUGCGUUGUGUGAAUGAUAUCGGGGGUAAAGCACUGGAUGGGCUAGGGGGAAGCGAUUCCUACCAAACCUAACCAAACUCUGAAUACCGAUACUCUAUGCACAGCAGACAGACUAUAGGUGCUAAGGUCUAUAGUCGAGAGGGAAACAGCCCAGAUCACCAGUUAAGGCCCCCAAAUAAUGGCUAAGUGGGAAAGUAUGUAGAAAGUCCAAGACAGGCAGGAGGUUGGCUUAGAAGCAGCCAUCCUUUAAAGAUAGCGUAACAGCUCACUGUUCUAAUUAAGACUUUCCGCGACGAAGAUGUAACGGGGCUCAAGCCAUUUGCCGAAACUGUGACUUUAUAAAUAUUGCGAUAUUUAUAAGGGGUAGCGGAGCGUUCUGUAAGCCGUUGAAGGUGUUUUGAAAAAAAUGCUGGAGGUAUCAGAAGUGCGAAUGCUGACAUGAGUAGCGAUAAAGAGUGUGAGAGACACUCUCGCCGAAAUCCUAAGGUUUCCUGCGUAAAGCUAAUCUGCGCAGGGUUAGUCGACCCCUAAGGCGAGGCAGAAAUGCGUAGUCGAUGGGAAACAGGUUAAUAUUCCUGUACCUUCUGUGAGUUGACGGAUCACGUAAAUAGUACUUUCUUAUUGGAUUGAGAGUGCUGUGAAGUGGUUCCUGGAAAUAGCCACAGAGUAUAGAUCGUACCAAAACCGACACAGGUAGGAAGGUAGAGUAUACCAAGGCGCUUGAGAGAAUGAUGUUGAAGGAACUCGGCAAAAUGCCCUUGUAACUUCGGAAUAAGAGGGACCAAUUUUUAGGCAACUAAGGAUUGGUGGCACAGAAUAGGGAGAAGCGACUGUUUAUCAAAAACACAGGUCUCUGCUAAGUCGUAAGACGAUGUAUAGGGACUGACGCCUGCCCGGUGCCGGAAGGUUAAAUGGUGGAGUGCAAGCUCUAAAAUGAAGCCCCGGUGAACGGCGGCCGUAACUAUAACGGUCCUAAGGUAGCGAAAUUCCUUGUCAGGUAAGUUCUGACCCGCAUGAAUGGCGUAACGAUUUCUCCGCUGUCUCCAACAUCAACUCAGCGAAAUUGAAUUCUCCGUGAAGAUGCGGAGUACGUGUAGUUAGACGGAAAGACCCCGUGCACCUUUACUAUAGCUUUACAGUGGUAUUAGGAAAAUAAUGUGUAGGCUAGGUGGUAGACUUUGAAGCGAAGGCGCUAGCUUUUGUGGAGUCAAAAGAUGAAACACCACCCUUUAUUUUUUUGAUAUCUAACCAUCAUCCAUUAUCUGGAUGUGGGACCCUGUAUGGUGGGUAGUUUGACUGGGGCGGUCGCCUCCUAAAGAGU
rnacentral:rRNA from 1 species